CUCCUUCUGUCGUUCCUAAGCGUGAUGAUUGGGUGUUCACCCGCUUGUGUGCGAUGUACCUCUCUGAGAGCCUGGUACCAGGUCGGCCCAUCACCCGUCUGGCG